AUGGAUCUUCACAUAAGCUGCAACAUAAAGCUGUUUUCACUUCUGUAUCUGGCACUGCACUGCUUUUUAUGGAAGACUUCAUUGAACGUCUCUGUGCAGCAGGGCCAAAAUGUCACACUGAGCUGCCCAUUGAUGAUCAACAGCAGUAAAGGGGUUUUGAGCUGGUAUAAACAGACUCCAUGGCACGGGCCACAGCUGAUCCUCUCCUACAAUAUCACCAACACUUCACGGGUGCGCCGCGGCACGGGACUGGACCACAGCAGAUACACCGUCUUAACCAGGGAAGGGUUAAACCUUCGUCACCUCUUACAAAUCCUCACAACUUUACAAAAUGACACUGGAACUUAUUAUUGCGGGUUUUCAGACAAAAACCAGACGCACAUGUUUGACAACUGA